AUCGCUUCUCGGCCUUUUGGCUAAGAUCAAGUGUACUUACUAAUCUUAACUUUUCCUUAGAUGACUCAGGACAGAGCACAGCAGUUAACAUUCUUGAACUAUAUAUAUUAUUUUUAUCUUUAUUUUUUUUCCAGUACAGGGAAUUGAACUGAGGACCUUGUGCUUGCCAGGCAGGUGCAACCCCACUAAGCUACAUCUGCAGCCCUU
rnacentral:snRNA from 1 species